UUGAGUGUCAAAUGGGUUAUAUAGGCCACAGGGCAUAAUAUUUUUAGGUUUACUAUUGUAAUGGACCAAUUCUAUAAGCCCAAAUAUAAGGGUUUGAGUCCUAUAAGGGAUUAGUGUUAGUUUCUAUUUUAGCAAGUUGUAUUCUUUAUUUUAGUAAUAUUAUAGAAGGCCGGACAGAUGUCCUAAAUUCCAGCCCCUAGUUUCUAUCAUGUAAUGUUCUAGAAUAGCUUCUACUUUGAAGAAGAUUUAAGUUGUAAGGAAUUCUCCCUACAAUACAUGGGGGUUUCCUAUUUUGCUUAUUUCAUUGAAGUUACAAAUAAAGAGUAGGGGGAUCAUACCCACUACUAUUGAUUUGAGAAAUAAUUUAGUCUUGAGCUUGUGAGUUUUGUGAGAGAUGCGGCAUGAUUUUGUGGGAUUAAAAAUUGCUCUACUGUGGGAUGCAGUAGGGAAACCUUGGUGGGAUGCCAAGGCUGGAGUAGCUCUGUUCUCAACUCAACUACCGAUUUCAGGAGGUCAUUGAUGUUCUGUUCUAAACUCCCUGUGCUGGUGCUAACGCAGUGUUUUGACUCCAGCUGCUAUUUCUUAACCAGUUUCUAAUACACUGAUCGACUUUCUAUUUCUUUAUCUGUUUCUAUGUUCAGUUUAGUUUCUAUUUUCAUCAGUUGCUAUUUUCUGUCAAGUUUUAGUUUCUAACUCCUGCAUCAGUUUCUAUUUUCGUUAGAUCUUGACCAGGUUUUGAGGGUUUAUUCACCACCUUAACUGGGCACUCAAUCUGAGUUCUAUCAUCAUUAGGUACACCUGCUGUGAGAUAUAGAAAAUCUUUUUAUUUUGGUUCAACAUAGCCCUGUGAUUCUGGUUUCUAUUUGGAAUCCUAGUCUCUACCUUUGAGUGACUUAAGAUACCAUUACAAAGUGUAAGCUAUCCCUAG